UUAUUUCCUCUCUCUUCUUUCCCUCUCCUUCUUCUCUCUUCUCUCUCUCUUCACUCUCUCUACGCCGCCCCAGCUCCGCCCAUCGCUGCCUGCCGAAAAUCGCCGCCGCCGGCGGACCACCUCCAAACACCUCCAAAUUCACACCACGUAAUCUCUACAACUUCCUCUUUCCAUAUCUCCAAACCAAAUCCCAAAUCCCUCAAACUCCUUGAAUCUUAGAUCUAGGAAACUUUCCCGUCACUUUUUUGCCCAAAUUCUAGAAUCUCCAACCACUACCACCCCAAAAUACCUACAUCAAUGGAUAGAGCUCCUCAAGACCUAGCUAUUGAUGUCAAUUCUACCCCAAAAAUCCGGCGACCAAAUUCCAGCCUAAUUCCGGCAACCUCCCGGAACACCCUCUGUGGCAUACCACCAUUUGUUCAGCCUUUUGAUGUGUAAAAUGGUAAAAUAUUAUUCUUUUUCAUGGCUGAUUUUUUUUUAGUUUUCAGAAUUUAUUUUUGUCUAUUAUUAAUUAUUUUAGCAUUAGUUUUUGAAGUUUGAAAUGUUAAAUUUACUGUUUUUGCACUUGUUGAAGUAGUAAAAUAGUUUUGUAUUGAUAAAAGUGAGGUAAUAAAAAAUACUUAAGAGUAUAUGGUACUUGUUUGGUUGUUUGUUUACUACUUCAAGACUCUUUGAGUACAACACUCAAAAGUCAAAUUGUUUGGUAAGAAAAUGUAGACCUUUGGACAUUAUUUGAAUAAAAUCUAUCUUUGAAUAGUGGAGAGCAGAUUUUGUUUGAAAUACUUGACAAGAUUUGAACUAGAAAGUCUUGCUUUUUGAAUUUAAGAGCAGAUUUUGUAGAAAAAUCUGUCAAAAAAGAUUGAUUUUUAAUUUUUUAAAAUAGUUGGUUGUUUUGAUAUAUAGAGGGGACUCCAUCACACUUCCAGGGGAGCAUUUUUUUAAUUGCUUUGUCACAAAAACAAAAAAGAAUUCAGCAGUUGAACACAUGAAAAGUAAGCUGAAAUGGUGAGCUUUGGGAGUGAAUCUUAGAGUGCAAACUUUUAAAAAAGUAUAAGUCCUCUUUAGAGUUCGUUUCUGGGUUCCCUCUCUAAGUUUUCGGGUUGUUUUAACACGAAUUUGCUGCUGGUUUUGUUGUUGUAUUGCUGCUGUUUUUAUGCUGCUUUAGUUGUUGAACUACUGUUUAUUCUUUUGCUACCAGGUAAUCCUUUAAGACUCGUAAUGUACGUAUUUUCAGCAAUGGGAACAACUUGAACAUGUUGCACCAUUUAAAUGUGUUUGAUGUGAUGAAUAGUUUGACAACAAAAGAGCUUGUAUGUUAUUAUUAUGUAUCAAGCAUGUGAUUAUGUGAAUAUAGUCCUUCAUAAUACUUGAAUAUUGAGUUGUAAGUUUUUGAAUGGGAUAUGUAAGUCGUUUAUGGAUUUUUUAAGCAUGUUUUCAAGCUAUUAUAUCCGAGUAAUAAUGCUAAGUAUGUCAUGAAUGACUUUAGGUGUAUAACACAUAGCAUGAGUUCGUUUUAGUUGCUGAAAUUUCACUGCCAACAUAUGUUUCUAGGAGUGCUGUGAUAAUAUCUUUGUGAAUCUGGCCAUUUUGCCGGAUUUGCAAAAAUGGCUAUUUUUGUAAAGUGGGCGUUUAUACAAUUGUGACUAUGUAGUUAAUGGUCAUGAACUCAAACUAAGCAAAGAGC
rnacentral:lncRNA from 1 species